CCUACGGGAGGCAGCAGUAGGGAAUAUUGCACAAUGGGCGCAAGCCUGAUGCAGCCAUGCCGCGUGUGUGAAGAAGGCCUUCGGGUUGUAAAGCACUUUCAGCGGGGAGGAAGGCGGUGAGGUUAAUAACCUCAUCGAUUGACGUUACCCGCAGAAGAAGCACCGGCUAACUCCGUGCCAGCAGCCGCGGUAAUACGGAGGGUGCAAGCGUUAAUCGGAAUUACUGGGCGUAAAGCGCACGCAGGCGGUCUGUCAAGUCGGAUGUGAAAUCCCCGGGCUCAACCUGGGAACUGCAUUCGAAACUGGCAGGCUAGAGUCUUGUAGAGGGGGGUAGAAUUCCAGGUGUAGCGGUGAAAUGCGUAGAGAUCUGGAGGAAUACCGGUGGCGAAGGCGGCCCCCUGGACAAAGACUGACGCUCAGGUGCGAAAGCGUGGGGAGCAAACAGGAUUAGAUACCCGAGUAGUC
rnacentral:rRNA from 1 species